rnacentral:rRNA from 1 species
AUGUCGCAGACCCGGCGAGUCUGGAAGAUUUGGCCUGCCAAAGAGAACAUUUUGCUAGCGGAGGAUCUUAAUCUUGCAAGUGUUGACGUCGCAGAUUGUCAGGUGGUGGUGAAAGACAUUAAUCAGCAGUCGAUGGCCCCCUACGGCGCCAUUUUACAGGAGAUCAAAGCUCGGAAAUCGUCUAUGAUUAGCCGUCAUUUUAUGUACGAUGGUAGGAGUUUCAAUCUCGAGGCGCAUGUCCUAGCAAAGCACGCUUCUUCUUUAGGCGCCGGUCGUUAUAUUUGGCUUGAUCUCCCCUAUGAUUCAGCUAUUGUACCCUUAAACAUUAUUUCAGACAAUCAACAAAGCGUGUGUUUGCCCAAAAAUUUCAGUUCGUUACAUAGGUCCUGUGAGAAAAGGUACUGCACUCCUGUCACCCAUGGUAUUGCCCUGCUACGUUUUCCCACCCAGCGGCACCGGUACCAGCUACUCCAUCCACCAGACCAGCUGACGAACUUUUGA